rnacentral:pre_miRNA from 1 species
AAAGCGGAAGUAACACAAGAUCCGGGCGAGAGUCACUGCCUACCGUCAUAAUAUCCCCGGUCGGUGGGACUUUCGUCCGAGUCAAAUGUUACUACAAAAU